rnacentral:rRNA from 1 species
GAUGAACGCUGGCGGCGUGCCUAAUACAUGCAGGUCGAGCGAACGGACGAGAAGCUUGCUUCUCUGAUGUUAGCGGCGGACGGGAGAGUCACACGUGGAUAACCUACCUAUAAGACUGGGAUAACUUCGGGAAACCGGAGCUAAUACCGGAUGAUAUUUUGAACCGCAUGGUUCAAAAGUGAAAGACGGUCUUGCUGUCACUUAUAGAUGGAUCCGCGCUGCAUUAGCUAGUUGGUAAGGUAACGGCUUACCAAGGCAACGAUGCAUAGCCGACCUGAGAGGGUGAUCGGCCACACUGUAACUGAGACACGGUCCAGACUCCGACGGGAGGCAGCAGUAGGGAAUCUUCCGCAAUGGGCGAAAGCCUGACGGAGCAACGCCGCGUGAGUGAUGAAGGUCUUCGGAUCGUAAAACUCUGUUAUUAGGGAAGAACAUAUGUGUAAGUAACUGUGCACAUCUUGACGGUACCUAAUCAGAAAGCCACGGCUAACUACGUG